rnacentral:rRNA from 1 species
UACAUAGGGCGCAAGCGUUAUCCGGAAUUAUUGGGCGUAAAGAGCUCGUAGGCGGUUUGUCGCGUCUGCCGUGAAAGUCCGGCGCUCAACUCCGGAUCUGCGGUGGGUACGGGCAGACUAGAGUGAUGUAGGGGAGACUGGAAUUCCUGGUGUAGCGGUGAAAUGCGCAGAUAUCAGGAGGAACACCGAUGGCGAAGGCAGGUCUCUGGGCAUUAACUGACGCUGAGGAGCGAAAGCAUGGGGAGCGAACAGG